rnacentral:rRNA from 1 species
UACGUAGGGGGCUAGCGUUGUCCGGAUUUAUUGGGCGUAAAGAGCGUGUAGGCGGCCAGGUAGGUCCGGUGUGAAAACUCGAGGCUUAACCUCGAGAUGUCAUCGGAAACCAUCUGGCUAGAGUCCGGAAGAGGAAAGUGGAAUUCCUGGUGUAGCGGUGAAAUGCACAGAUAUCAGGAAGAACACCAAUGGCGAAAGCAGCUUUCUGGGACGGUACUGACGCUGAGACGCGAAAGCGUGGGGAGCGAACAGG